AGAUAAGUUUCAAAAACACACCUAAACUAUACCUGUUUUUUGAGUUUCAUACCUAAACUAUUGAGGGUGUGAGUUUCAUACCUAAACUAUCAAUUAUUAGUUUGAGAAACACACCUCCGUCUUUUAUACCACUCUCACCAUGGUGUGUGUAAUACACUCUCUCUUUUAUUUUAAAAAAUUGUCACAUCACACUCCACAUGGACAAAACAUUUCACUUUGAACAAAAAAUAAAUAAAUUAUUAGUAUUAGUUAAAAUUAAAGAUUAAAAUUAUUAUCCAAAA
rnacentral:lncRNA from 1 species